rnacentral:rRNA from 1 species
UACGAAGGUGGCAAGCGUUACUCGGAAUUACUAGGCGUAAAGCGCAGGUAGGUGGUUGGAUAAGUCCGUGAUGAAAGCUCCCGGCCUAACCGGGAGAGGUUUAUGGAUACUGUCCGACUCGAGUGUGGGAGAGGUGACUGGAAUUCCUGGUGUAGCGGUGAAAUGCGUAGAUAUCAGGAGGAACACCAACGGCGAAAGCAGGUCACUGGCCCAAUACUGACGCUGAGCUGCGAAAGCUAGGGGAGCAAACAGG